UACGAAGGGGGCUAGCGUUGCUCGGAAUCACUGGGCGUAAAGCGCACGUAGGCGGCUUCUUAAGUCAGGGGUGAAAUCCUGGAGCUCAACUCCAGAACUGCCUUUGAUGCUGAGAAGCUUGAGUCCGGGAGAGGUGAGUGGAACUGCGAGUGUAGAGGUGAAAUUCGUAGAUAUUCGCAAGAACACCAGUGGCGAAGGCGGCUCACUGGCCCGGUACUGACGCUGAGGUGCGAAAGCGUGGGGAGCAAACAGG
rnacentral:rRNA from 1 species